rnacentral:rRNA from 1 species
UACAGAGGUCUCAAGCGUUGUUCGGAUUCAUUGGGCGUAAAGGGUGCGUAGGCGGCGCGGUAAGUCGGGUGUGAAAUCUCGGGGCUUAACUCGGAAAGGUCAACUGAUACUGUGCGACUAGAGUGCAGAAGGGGCAACUGGAAUUCUCGGUGUAGCGGUGAAAUGCGUAGAUAUCGAGAGGAACACCUGCGGCGAAGGCGGGUUGCUGGGCUGACACUGACGCUGAUGCGCGAAAGCCAGGGGAGCGAACGGG